UACAGAGGUCUCAAGCGUUGUUCGGAUUCAUUGGGCGUAAAGGGUGCGUAGGCGGCGCGGUAAGUCGGGUGUGAAAUCUCGGGGCUUAACUCCGAAACCGCAUUCGAUACUGCCGUGCUUGAGGACUGGAGAGGAGACUGGAAUUUACGGUGUAGCGGUGAAAUGCGUAGAUAUCGUAAGGAAGACCAGUGGCGAAGGCGGGUCUCUGGACAGUUCCUGACGCUGAGGCACGAAGGCCAGGGGAGCAAACGGG
rnacentral:rRNA from 1 species